ACUCAAAUGAAUAGACGGGGGCCCGCACAAGCGGUGGAUCAUGUGGUUUAAUUCGAAGCAACGCGCAAAACCUUACCUGGGUUUGACAUCUUCGGAUCGCUGUAGAAAUACAGUUUUUGUAGCAAUACAACCGAAAGACAGGUGCUGCAUGGCUGUCGUCAGCUCGUGUGGUGACAUGUUGGGUUAAGUCCCGCAACGAGCGCAACCCCUGCCUUUAGUUGCCAGCAUUCAGUUGGGCACUCUAGAGGGACUGCCGUGGUUAACACGGAGGAAGGUGGGGAUGACGUCAAGUCCUCAUGGCCUUUAUAUCCAGGGCGACACACGUGAUACAAUGGACGGUACAAAGGGAUGCGAACCUGCGAGGGGGAGCCAAUCUCAAAAAACCGUUCUCAGUUCGGAUUGGAGUCUGCAACUCGACUCCAUGAAGCUGGAAUCGCUAGUAAUCGCGGAUCAGCACGCCGCGGUGAAUACGUUCCCGGGCCUUGUACACACCGCCCGU
rnacentral:rRNA from 1 species